GAACAGUAAAGGCUGAGUAUAGGUGUAGAUUUACGUCAGAAAUAGACGUAAAUCUACACCUAUACUCAGCCUUUACUGUUC